CCCACAAAAAUCCAUAGGACGGGUAUACGAGGGAUAAAACUUGAAAGAAAGAAAGAAAAGUGAUUGACGAUGGAUGAUCGAGUGAUGGAUGACUUCCCUGUUCAGGUUCUUUUUUUUUUUAACAAGACUCUUCCUCCU
rnacentral:ribozyme from 1 species